rnacentral:rRNA from 1 species
AGCAGCCGCGGUAAUUCCAGCUCCAAUAGCGUAUAUUAAAGUUGUUGCAGUUAAAAAGCUCGUAGUUGAAUUUCGGGGUCAGUAGGUCGGUCGUGCCACUGGUAUGAACUGGUCUCACUGGUUCCUCCUUCUUGUAGAACCGUAAUGCCAUUAAUUUGGUGUUGCGGGGAAACAGGACUGUUACUUUGAAAAAAUUAGAGUGUUUAAAGCAGGCUAACGCUUGAAUACAUUAGCAUGGAAUAAUGAAAUAGGACGAGCGAUCCUAUUUUGUUGGUUUCUAGGAUUGACGUAAUGAUUAAUAGGGAUAGUUGGGGGCAUUAGUAUUCAAUUGUCAGAGGUGAAAUUCUUGGAUUUAUUGAAGACUAACUACUGCGAAAGCAUUUGCCAAGGAUGUUUUCAUUAAUCAAGAACGAAAGUUAGGGGAUCGAAGACGAUCAGAUACCGUCGUAG